GACGAACGCUGGCGGCGUGCUUAACACAUGCAAGUCGAACGGAAAGGCCCUGCUUUUGUGGGGUGCUCGAGUGGCGAACGGGUGAGUAACACGUGAGUAACCUGCCCUUGACUUUGUGAUAACUUCAGGAAACUGGGGCUAAUACCGGAUAGGAGCUCCUGCUGCAUGGUGGGGGUUGGAAAGUUUCGGCGGUUGGGGAUGGACUCGCGGCUUAUCAGCUUGUUGGUGGGGUAGUGGCUUACCAAGGCUUUGACGGGUAGCCGGCCUGAGAGGGUGACCGGCCACCUUGGGACUGCGAUACGGCCCAGACUCCUACGGGCGGCAGCAGUGGGGAAUAUUGCACAAUGGGCGGAAGCCUGAUGCAGCAACGCCGCGUGCGGGAUGACGGCCUUCGGGUUGUAAACCGCUUUCGCCUGUGACGAAGCGUGAGUGACGGUAAUGGGUAAAGAAGCACCGGCUAACUACGUG
rnacentral:rRNA from 1 species